UAAGAAGUGCCCUUUGCCCUCCGCCAUGAUUAUGAGACCUACCCAGCCAUGUGAAACCGAACCCCUGGAAGCUGCAUGGCCUGUGGUUAAGAGGCCAGCCUCUGCAGCCAGCCUGCCUGGGCUUAUAUACCCCCGUGAGACUUGCUACCGUGUGACCUUGGGGUCUUGCUUUGUCACCCAGGCUGGAAUCCAGCACUCACUGCAGCCUCAACCUCCUAGGCUCAAGUGAUCCUCCCACCUCAGCAUCCUGAGAAGCUGGGACUACAGGUGCGUGCCAUCAUGCCUGGCUAAUGUUUGUGUUUUUUGUAGAGAUGGG
rnacentral:lncRNA from 1 species